GAUGAAGAACGUAGCGAAAUGCGAUACGUAAUGUGAAUUGCAGAAUUCAGUGAAUCAUCGAGUCUUUGAACGCACAUUGCGCCCCCUGGUAUUCCGGGGGGCAUGCCUGUCCGAGCGUCAUUGCUGCCCUCAAGCACGGCUUGUGUGUUGGGCCUCCGUCCUCCUCCCGGGGGACGGGCCCGAAAGGCAGCGGCGGCUCCGCGUCCGGUCCUCGAGCGUAUGGGGCUUCGUCACCCGCUCUUGUAGGCCCGGCCGGCGCUUGCCGACACAUCAAUCUUUUUUCCAGGUUGACCUCGGAUCAGGUAGGGAUACCCGCUGAACUUAAGCAUAUCAAUAAGCGGAGGA
rnacentral:misc_RNA from 1 species